GGUCUUAUAGAGAUGUUUGGGCCUUUAUUUUAACCUGCAAAGUCCAAUACUGCAGCCUUUAUGAUCAAGGAUAUACUUCAAUAGGGAGCAUAUAUGACACAGUACCAAAUUCACUGCUGUGUAUAAAUGACUCCAGUUGUAACAAAAAAUUUAAACCUGCAUAUUUGCUCUCUGAUGGAAGAUCAGAAAGAGCGGGAAGGGUAAAAAAGUUGUCUUCUUCCAUUCCUGGGCAUUUUUCUGUUGUCAGUGAUAGCUCGGACAGUGCGGACCCAC
rnacentral:misc_RNA from 1 species